rnacentral:rRNA from 1 species
UACGUAGGCAGCGAGCGUUGUUCGGAAUUACUGGGCGUAAAGAGUGUGUAGGCGGUGCUCUAAGUUCGGUGUGAAAUCUCCCGGCUUAACCGGGAGGGUGCGCCGGAAACUGGAGUGCUCGAGCGUGGGAGAGGAAAGCGGAAGUCCUGGUGUAGCGGUGAAAUGCGUAGAUAUCAGGAGGAACACCUGCGGUGUAGACGGCUUUCUGGACCAUUGCUGACGCUGAGACACGAAAGCGUGGGUAGCAAACAGG